AACGAACGCUGGCGGCAUGCCUAACACAUGCAAGUCGAACGGAAACGCCCUGCUUUUUUGCGCUUACCGGGGGCCGGACGGGUGAGUAACACGUAUGUAACGUACCCUUCACUUUGGGGUAAGUUCAGGAAGCUAAAGCUACUCUCAGACAGGAUCUCACGCUCGAUGGUGGGCGUGGGAUCGUUUCGGCUGUUGGGGAUGGACUGGCGGCUGAUGAGCUUGUUGGUUGGGUAGUGGCUUACCAAGGCAUUGACGGGUCGCCGGCCUGGGAGGGUGGCCGGCCACAAUACGCCUGCGAUACGGCCCAGACGCCAACGGGAGGCAACGGGGGGGAGUAUUGUACAGUGAGCGGAAGCCGGAUGCAGAGACGCCGCGUGCGGAAAGACGGCCUGCGGGUAGUGAACCGCAUUCGCUUGAGACGAAGCGUGAGUGACGGUAACGGGUAAAUAAGCACCGGCUAACUACGUG
rnacentral:rRNA from 1 species